AGAGUUUGAUCCUGGCUCAGAUUGAACGCUAGCGGGAUGCUUUACACAUGCAAGUCGAACGGCAGCGCGAGAGAGCUUGCUCUCUUGGCGGCGAGUGGCGGACGGGUGAGUAAUAUAUCGGAACGUGCCCAGUAGCGGGGGAUAACUACUCGAAAGAGUGGCUAAUACCGCAUACGCCCUACGGGGGAAAGGGGGGGAUCGCAAGACCUCUCACUAUUGGAGCGGCCGAUAUCGGAUUAGCUAGUUGGUGGGGUAAAGGCUCACCAAGGCAACGAUCCGUAGCUGGUUUGAGAGGACGACCAGCCACACUGGGACUGAGACACGGCCCAGACUCCUACGGGAGGCAGCAGUGGGGAAUUUUGGACAAUGGGGGAAACCCUGAUCCAGCCAUCCCGCGUGUAUGAUGAAGGCCUUCGGGUUGUAAAGUACUUUUGGCAGAGAAGAAAAGGUAUCCCCUAAUACGGGAUACUGCUGACGGUAUCUGC
rnacentral:rRNA from 1 species